rnacentral:lncRNA from 1 species
UAAAUGAACUUCAUUUAAAUAAGCUAAUGUUAAAUUUAUGUUACUUUUUAAACAUAUACGUCUGAGCUGAGCUGAAUUUGCCGAGGCUAGUGAACUCCAUAAUUAUUUUUCUCUAAUCAUUGUACGAACAAAAUAAACUACAGUCAACUUCUCGUUGAUCUCCAGGGGCUGCUGGAACGAAGAUGAGGAAUGAUCCGCGCAGUAUAGUCAAAUAGGGUCCCAAUCUUCUUACAGAACAAUCCCUAAAAACUGAAAAUAGAAAAGCAGUAUGGGAGAAAAAGAAAUUACUCCAGCAAAAAUACACAAAACAGUCAAAAAAUUUGAAAGUCCAUAAAUAUUACACAUGGAGCUUAACAUCCUUUUUCAGUCUAAAGAGAUCUCAUCAAGCACACCUACUGACACACUCAACCUGCAACUAAAUGAAUCAAACAAAACACAAAAAUCAAAUUAGUGUGCAUCCAAAUUUUAUAACUGGCCCACAUACUACAUAACAGUAACUGUUGUUCGUGCCAUUAAGCUUAAAUCAGCAGCACCAAUUUUGUUUGUCCAUAGAAGAAUUUUAGUAUGAAAUCAUGAAGAGUUCCAUACCCUGAUAGUGAAACGUAUGAACUCUAGAGAGUAACUAGAAGAGCGGCGACCCUAAACACAAUUUGAUGUCGGCCAACUCGAAGAUCUGCUCAACCUGGUCAGUGAACACCAUUACAAGCAGCAACAAGGAUGCAUACAUGGAUAAAAAAUGGUUCAUUAUAGCACAAACUAGCAGAAUUGCAAAACACUGUACACUAGCACAAGAUUUCUUCAGUAAAUUCUAGGGAGGAUUCCAGAGAUCAAUGUACUGAAUGCUGAUACCUGGUUUCAGUGUCUUAAGACUUGAGGUGUUGCAGGCGAGGUUCUAGAAGCCCUCUCGCUCCAAUGCAUCUGCAACCACUGUGGAC